rnacentral:rRNA from 1 species
GGUAACAGGAAGUGCUUGCACUUCGCUGACGAGUGGCGGACGGGUGAGUAAUACUUAGGGAUCUGCCUUCGGGAGGGGGAUAACCAUUGGAAACGAUGGCUAAUACCGCAUAACGUCUACGGACCAAAGGGGGCUUCGGCUCUCACCUGAAGAGGAACCUAAGCGAGAUUAGCUUGUUGGUGAGGUAAAGGCUCACCAAGGCGACGAUCUCUAGCUGUUCUGAGAGGAAGAUCAGCCACACUGGGACUGAGACACGGCCCAGACUCUUACGGGAGGCAGCAGUGGGGAAUAUUGCACAAUGGGGGGAACCCUGAUGCAGCCAUGCCGCGUGUGUGAAGAAGGCCUUCGGGUUGUAAAGCACUUUCAGUGGGGAGGAAAGGUUAAUGGUUAAUACCCAUUAGCUGUGACGUUACCCACAGAAGAAGCACCGGCUAACUCCGUGCCAGCAGCCGCGGUAAUACGGAGGGUGCGAGCGUUAAUCGGAAUUACUGGGCGUAAAGCGCACGCAGGCGGAUUGUUAAGCUAGAGGUGAAAGCCCCGCGCUCAACGUGGGAAUUGCCUUUAGAACUGGCAGUCUAGAGUCUUGGAGAGGGGAGUGGAAUUCCAGGUGUAGCGGUGAAAUGCGUAGAGAUCUGGAGGAACAUCAGUGGCGAAGGCGACUCCCUGGCCAAAGACUGACGCUCAUGUGCGAAAGUGUGGGUAGCGAACAGGAUUAGAUACCCUGGUAGUCCACACCGUAAACGCUGUCUACUAGCUGUUUGUGUAUUUAACACGUGAGUAGCGAAGCUAACGCGCUAAGUAGACCGCCUGGGGAGUACGG